rnacentral:rRNA from 1 species
UUAAGCGACUAAGCGUACACGGUGGAUGCCCUGGCAGUCAGAGGCGAUGAAGGACGUGCUAAUCUGCGAUAAGCGUCGGUAAGGUGAUAUGAACCGUUAUAACCGGCGAUUUCCGAAUGGGGAAACCCAGUGUGAUUCGUCACACUAUCAUUAACUGAAUCCAUAGGUUAAUGAGGCGAACCGGGGGAACUGAAACAUCUAAGUACCCCGAGGAAAAGAAAUCAACCGAGAUUCCCCCAGUAGCGGCGAGCGAACGGGGAGCAGCCCAGAGCCUGAAUCAGUGUGUGUGUUAGUGGAAGCGUCUGGAAAGGCGCGCGAUACAGGGUGACAGCCCCGUACACAAAAAUGCACAUGCUGUGAGCUCGAUGAGUAGGGCGGGACACGUGGUAUCCUGUCUGAAUAUGGGGGGACCAUCCUCCAAGGCUAAAUACUCCUGACUGACCGAUAGUGAACCAGUACCGUGAGGGAAAGGCGAAAAGAACCCCGGCGAGGGGAGUGAAAAAGAACCUGAAACCGUGUACGUACAAGCAGUGGGAGCACAGAGCAAUCUGUGUGACUGCGUACCUUUUGUAUAAUGGGUCAGCGACUUAUAUUCUGUAGCAAGGUUAACCGAAUAGGGGAGCCGAAGGGAAACCGAGUCUUAACUGGGCGUUAAGUUGCAGGGUAUAGACCCGAAACCCGGUGAUCUAGCCAUGGGCAGGUUGAAGGUUGGGUAACACUAACUGGAGGACCGAACCGACUAAUGUUGAAAAAUUAGCGGAUGACUUGUGGCUGGGGGUGAAAGGCCAAUCAAACCGGGAGAUAGCUGGUUCUCCCCGAAAGCUAUUUAGGUAGCGCCUCGUGAAUUCAUCUCCGGGGGUAGAGCACUGUUUCGGCAAGGGGGUCAUCCCGACUUACCAACCCGAUGCAAACUGCGAAUACCGGAGAAUGUUAUCACGGGAGACACACGGCGGGUGCUAACGUCCGUCGUGAAGAGGGAAACAACCCAGACCGCCAGCUAAGGUCCCAAAGUCAUGGUUAAGUGGGAAACGAUGUGGGAAGGCCCAGACAGCCAGGAUGUUGGCUUAGAAGCAGCCAUCAUUUAAAGAAAGCGUAAUAGCUCACUGGUCGAGUCGGCCUGCGCGGAAGAUGUAACGGGGCUAAACCAUGCACCGAAGCUGCGGCAGCGACGCUUAUGCGUUGUUGGGUAGGGGAGCGUUCUGUAAGCCUGUGAAGGUGUGCUGUGAGGCAUGCUGGAGGUAUCAGAAGUGCGAAUGCUGACAUAAGUAACGAUAAAGCGGGUGAAAAGCCCGCUCGCCGGAAGACCAAGGGUUCCUGUCCAACGUUAAUCGGGGCAGGGUGAGUCGACCCCUAAGGCGAGGCCGAAAGGCGUAGUCGAUGGGAAACAGGUUAAUAUUCCUGUACUUGGUGUUACUGCGAAGGGGGGACGGAGAAGGCUAUGUUGGCCGGGCGACGGUUGUCCCGGUUUAAGCGUGUAGGCUGGUUUUCCAGGCAAAUCCGGAAAAUCAAGGCUGAGGCGUGAUGACGAGGCACUACGGUGCUGAAGCAACAAAUGCCCUGCUUCCAGGAAAAGCCUCUAAGCAUCAGGUAACAUCAAAUCGUACCCCAAACCGACACAGGUGGUCAGGUAGAGAAUACCAAGGCGCUUGAGAGAACUCGGGUGAAGGAACUAGGCAAAAUGGUGCCGUAACUUCGGGAGAAGGCACGCUGAUAUGUAGGUGAAGUCCCUCGCGGAUGGAGCUGAAAUCAGUCGAAGAUACCAGCUGGCUGCAACUGUUUAUUAAAAACACAGCACUGUGCAAACACGAAAGUGGACGUAUACGGUGUGACGCCUGCCCGGUGCCGGAAGGUUAAUUGAUGGGGUCAGCGCAAGCGAAGCUCUUGAUCGAAGCCCCGGUAAACGGCGGCCGUAACUAUAACGGUCCUAAGGUAGCGAAAUUCCUUGUCGGGUAAGUUCCGACCUGCACGAAUGGCGUAAUGAUGGCCAGGCUGUCUCCACCCGAGACUCAGUGAAAUUGAACUCGCUGUGAAGAUGCAGUGUACCCGCGGCAAGACGGAAAGACCCCGUGAACCUUUACUAUAGCUUGACACUGAACAUUGAGCCUUGAUGUGUAGGAUAGGUGGGAGGCUUUGAAGUGUGGACGCCAGUCUGCAUGGAGCCGACCUUGAAAUACCACCCUUUAAUGUUUGAUGUUCUAACGUUGACCCGUGAUCCGGGUUGCGGACAGUGUCUGGUGGGUAGUUUGACUGGGGCGGUCUCCUCCUAAAGAGUAACGGAGGAGCACGAAGGUUGGCUAAUCCUGGUCGGACAUCAGGAGGUUAGUGCAAUGGCAUAAGCCAGCUUGACUGCGAGCGUGACGGCGCGAGCAGGUGCGAAAGCAGGUCAUAGUGAUCCGGUGGUUCUGAAUGGAAGGGCCAUCGCUCAACGGAUAAAAGGUACUCCGGGGAUAACAGGCUGAUACCGCCCAAGAGUUCAUAUCGACGGCGGUGUUUGGCACCUCGAUGUCGGCUCAUCACAUCCUGGGGCUGAAGUAGGUCCCAAGGGUAUGGCUGUUCGCCAUUUAAAGUGGUACGCGAGCUGGGUUUAGAACGUCGUGAGACAGUUCGGUCCCUAUCUGCCGUGGGCGCUGGAGAACUGAGGGGGGCUGCUCCUAGUACGAGAGGACCGGAGUGGACGCAUCACUGGUGUUCGGGUUGUCAUGCCAAUGGCACUGCCCGGUAGCUAAAUGCGGAAGAGAUAAGUGCUGAAAGCAUCUAAGCACGAAACUUGCCCCGAGAUGAGUUCUCCCUGACUCCUUGAGAGUCCUGAAGGAACGUUGAAGACGACGACGUUGAUAGGCCGGGUGUGUAAGCGCAGCGAUGCGUUGAGCUAACCGGUACUAAUGAACCGUGAGGCUUAACCUU